rnacentral:tRNA from 1 species
GCAUUAGUAGCUCAGACAGAGCAUUGGCCUUGUAAGCCAAAGGACGAAGGAUAACCCCUUCCUAAUGCU